ACCAUUGACCCUGAUAUUGCUCUCUCUUACAUUGAGGAAAAAGUCCAUAGAUUUUUGGGUCACCUCCAGAAAGAUUUCGAAGGUGGUGUUUCAGCUGAGAAUUUGGGGGCAAAAUUUGGUGGCUAUGGUUCGUUUUUACCUACCUAUCAGCGGAGUCCAUCUUGGUCGCAUACUAAAGUCCAGCCGAGGCUCAUAACUAUGACUCACCAAGAAAGACGCACACAGAGGAUCAAAGGCAGAAUUCUUUAGCUUCAUCAAGUGCUUCUCCUUCAAUAAGGCCCCAUACUGCUUCAGGAAAAUCUUUAUCAGUGGGAAGCUCCUUGAAAGGCAAUGGCUACUUAAAAUCUAAACAUGCUGAAGAAUCGAGCUUAAAAAGGGGAACAAAUAGAAAAUCUGUGAUUGAUCAGAGAACACUGAAGGUCCGAAUCAAAGUUGGCUCAGAAAAUUUGUCAGCACAGAAGAAUGCUGAAAUCUACAGUGGACUUGGUCUAGUAGUUUCGCCAUCCUCUUCGAUGGAUGACAGUCCCACAACUAGUGAAGGGCAAUGUGGUAAAACUUUUGGGUGUGCCUGAGGCAUCACCAACCAGUAUUCUUCAGAUUAUGACAUCUUAUUCUGGAGAACUGCUUCUAUCCCCUCUAUCCGAGGAUCUGAUCCAUCUUACAGAAAAAAGGAAGUCCAGGGGAAAACGUGAAAAUAAACCAGUCGACAGAACAAGCAAAAAGUCUGGAUUGUUAGGGAAUGGAUCUCUUUCUAGCAGGAGUAACCAUAAAGUUACUGAGAAGAAAAAUGUCUUGUCAUCUGAAAAGGACGAUGAUUACUUCACAGAAUUACCGUAUCAGAAUAAUAAUGCUUUUGUGGAGAAUGAUGUUUC